rnacentral:rRNA from 1 species
GGUGAGUAUCACGUGGGCAAUCUGCCCCUCGGAGGGGGACAACCGGAGGAAACUCCGGCUAAUACCCCGUACGCCCUACGGAUCUCAUGAUCCAUAAAGGAAAGGUAGCUUCGGCCAUCCGGCGAGGGAUGAGCCCGCGGUCCAUUAGCUUGUGGGGGGGGUAACGGCCUACCAAGGCGACGAUGGAUAGCUGGUCUGAGAGGAUGAUCACCCACACUGGGACUGAGACACGGCCCACACUCCUACGGGAGGCAGCAGUCGGGAAUCUUGCGCAAUGGGCGAAAGCCUGACGCACCAACGCCGUGUGUGUGAGGAAGGCCUUCGGGUCGUAAAGCUCUGUUGUUGGGGACGAAGGGCGAGAGGUUAAUAGCCUCAAGCUUGACGGUCCCCUUCGAGGAAGCCCCGGCUAACUACGUGCCAGCAGCCGCGAUAAUACGUAGGGGGCGAGCGUUGUCCGGGAAAUUAUUGGGCGUAAAGAGCGUGUAGGGCGGUUCGGUAAGUCUGUUGUGAAAACCCAGGGCUCAACCCUGGGCGUGCAAUGGAUACUGCCGGGCUAGAGGGUGGUAGAGGCAAGUGGAAUUCCGAGUGUAGCGGUGAAAUGCGCAGAUAUUCGGAGGAACACCAGUAGCGAAGGCGGCUUGCUGGGCCACACCUGACGCUGAGACGCGAAAGCUAGGGGAGCGAACAGGAUUAGAUACCCUGGUAGUCCUAGCCGUAAACGAUGGACACUAGGUGUGGGCGGAGUCGAAUCUGUCCGUGCCGAAGCCAACGCGAUAAGUGUCCCGCCUGGGGAGUACGGCCGCAAGGCUAAAACUCAAAAGAAUUGACGGGGGCCCGCACAAGCAGCGGAGCAUGUUCUUUAAUUCGAUGCAACGCGAAAAACCUUACCUAGGCUUGACAUGGUGCUGCAAGCGCACAGAAAUGUGUGACCUUCGAGGGUGCACCACAGAUGCUGCAUGGCUGUCGUCAGCUCGUGUCGUGAGAUGUUGGGUUAAGUCCCGCAACGAGCGCAAUCCCUGUGAUGUGUUGCCAGCAUUAAGUUGGGGACUCACAUCAGACUGCCGGUGACAAACCGGAGGAAGGUGGGGAUGACGUCAAGUCAUCAUGGCUCUUACGCCUAGGGCUAGAAACGUGCUACAAUGGCUGGUACAAAGGGUUGCGAGACCGCGAGGUGGAGCGAAUCCCAUCAAAGCCAGUCUAAGUUCGGAUCGCAGUUUGCAACUCGACUGCGUGAAGGCGGAGUUGCUAGUAAUCGCGGUUCAGCAUGCCGCGGUGAAUACGUUCCCGGGCCUUGCACACACCGCCCGUCAC